rnacentral:piRNA from 1 species
GACUUGACUGGUCGCCAUUUUGCUAAAG